AUCACUUCUUGGCCAAGAUCAAGUGUAGUGUCUGUUCUUAUCAGUUUAAUAUCUGAUACAUCCUCUGUACAAGGAUAAUAUCUUAAAUGGAUUUUUGGAGCAGGAAGAUGGAAUAGGAAAUUGCUCUAUCCACUCUACACAUCGACCUGAUAUUGCAGUACCUCCAGGAGUGGUGUACCCCUC
rnacentral:snRNA from 1 species